UUUUCUUGUUGUAAAACUGUUUUGGCUGUGAAGGUCCGACUGUAAGUCCUCCGGAUACUAAAGAAUUGUGGAAUUGGACGUUUGUCUGGGUUUUCGCUGUUUGUGGAUCUACUGUGGUCAUCACAGUGAUUGUUAAUGUUAUUCUUUGGAAGAAAAGAAGAGCUGGUAUUGUAGAGAAAGAGUCCAGAAGGACCCAGAGAAUGCCAUCACUCAUCACAACCACAGCGGUCUUUGUACCAUAU